rnacentral:tRNA from 1 species
GCGGCGGUGAUCUAGCCUGGUUAAGAUGCUGCCCUGCCACGGCAGAAAGCGCGGGUUCGAAUCCCGCCCGCCGCA